rnacentral:snRNA from 1 species
UUCAAAAUUUAAAUAAAUAACU